UGGGGAAUAUUGGACAAUGGGCGCAAGCCUGAUCCAGCAAUGCCGCGUGAGUGAGGAAGGCCUUAGGGUUGUAAAGCUCUUUCGCACGCGACGAUGAUGACGGUAGCGUGAGAAGAAGCCCCGGCUAACUUCGUGCCAGCAGCCGCGGUAAUACGAAGGGGGCGAGCGUUGUUCGGAUUUACUGGGCGUAAAGGGCGCGCAGGCGGCUAUCUUUGUCAGGCGUGAAAGCCCCGGGCUUAACCUGGGAACUGCGCUUGGGACGGGGUGGCUAGAGAUCGGGAGAGGAGAGUGGAAUUCCCAGUGUAGAGGUGAAAUUCGUAGAUAUUGGGAAGAACACCGGUGGCGAAGGCGGCUCUCUGGACCGAUACUGACGCUGAGGCGCGAAAGCGUGGGGAGCAAACAGGAUUAGAUACCCCCGUAGUCC
rnacentral:rRNA from 1 species